UCAGCAGGUGGCCUGGAGAGGAAGAGAAAUGGAGUUAUCACAAAAAGGAAUCUAUAGUACUUGAAAACAAGCAAGAUACAGCAAGACAGAGAAAGAUGAACCUAAGAAGAAUAAGACUUUUUUGUUUUUAGUUUGGAUGACGAAGCAAAUAAUGGAACCUGUGACAGGAAAAUUGGAGGCACAAACAUAGUGGUACAGAUUGCAAAACAGCUCAUUCAAAUCCAUUUCAUUUUAUGAAACGACAUGUGUUUUUUGAAACAAAAGUCAUUAACU
rnacentral:lncRNA from 1 species